UUUUUUUAGGUUUUUUAAACCAUUCUGGACAAAAAAGUUUGUUGUAAUUUUUGUCUAAAGUUGAUGGUUUUCGAGUUAUAAGCAAUUUAAAAUUUGAAAAACGCGAAAAUGGCUAUUUUUAAGACUUAAUAACUAGGUUUUUUUGUUAUUUUUUACAAACGCCAUCUGUUUAUUUCAAACUAUAAACACUAAGCAUUUUUGUUGAACAGAAUUUGAUGAUCCUCUACAUGAUCCUGAAGAAAUUUGUAUCAUUAAUUUAUUACUAAGCUGUUAGUUUUAAUUAUUAUUAACAAUAAGCCGUAAGAUCGUAUUGACGCGGCUGUAAAAUGUGAGUACGAGAGUAAGAUCCCCAUUGCACUGCCGAAAUGGCAUCUCUCUCGCACUCACCAUAGACGGCCGCCUAAUACGUGCAGGUGUUCAUUAUUAUUACUUAAAAAUAACAGUUUAGU
rnacentral:lncRNA from 1 species